rnacentral:rRNA from 1 species
UACAGAGACUGCAAGCGUUAUUCGGAUUCACUGGGCGUAAAGGGUGCGCAGGCGGCCGAGUGUGUGAGGCGUGAAAGCCCGGGGCUUAACCCCGGAAUUGCACCUCAAACUACACGGCUAGAGCAUUGGAGAGGGUAGCAGAAUUCAUGGUGUAGCAGUGAAAUGCGUAGAUAUCAUGAGGAAUACCAGAGGCGAAGGCGGCUACCUGGACAAUUGCUGACGCUCAGGCACGGAAGCGUGGGGAGCAAAAGGG